UAUUUAUAGUUUCAACAUAAUAAAAUUCAAGUUAAAGUUGUUUUUAGUUAAGACCUUCAUCUCAGUAUAUAACUUAUAUUCAGUUGCUUAAUUGAGUUUAGUUAUUGUGAGUUCAGAGUUCAACGAAUUUUGUUAGACAACAACCAUUUAAGCUUAAAGUUGGAUUACUAAUGUACUAGCUUUUUAACCUAUGUGAAGCAUAGAUCAAGAUAUAUUAUCUAAAAAAUAUCCGGUAGCUCAACGGAUUAGAGCACGUGGCUACGAUUAAUUAUUUGUGAGUUCAGAGUUCAACGAAUUUUGUUAGACAACAAUCAUUUAAGCUUAAAGUUGGAUUACUAAUGUACUAGCUUUUUAACCUAUGUGAAGC
rnacentral:lncRNA from 1 species